UACGGAGGGUGCAAGCGUUAUCCGGAUUUACUGGGUUUAAAGGGUGCGUAGGCGGGCCGGUAAGUCCGUGGUGAAAUCUCUGAGCUUAACUCAGAAACUGCCAUGGAUACUAUUUGUCUUGAAUACUGUUGAGGUAAGCGGAAUAUGUCAUGUAGCGGUGAAAUGCUUAGAUAUGACAUGGAACACCAAUUGCGAAGGCAGCUUACUGGACAAAUAUUGACGCUGAGGCACGAAAGCGUGGGGAGCAAACAGG
rnacentral:rRNA from 1 species